UUGAACUUGCAAUGAGACAUCAUAAUGAUACAUUGUUACCACCUAAAGUAAAUCAGGCUUCACAAUGGGAUUCAGACAUUGCGAGUUUUCACAGAGGCAAAACGACUGGACUAUGGACCAUGGACCCACCAUUCUGGUAUCGAGUACAAGCAGCGUUUCAUAAUCCUAAACCCCCUCCUGCUUUCCUAGUGUUCCCACCUGGGACACCCAUUAACUGGUCCACCACUCCCAUAGCCUCGCCUUUUCCAGAACAUCGUUUGGUUGCCGUCACAGUGUAGACUUUUCACACAGGCUUUCCUUGAGUUGCUUGUGUUAAGUUUCCCCACGUCAUUUCGCGGUUUGAUCUCCUCUUCAACAGACUUCGGAUGGAGCCCAAGGCCACCCACACAGCAGGCUAGCACACGACUGCUGAGCUACAUUCCCAGUCAUUAUUUCUGGGAUUAUUUCUGGGACAGUCUUGCUACAUAAGUCAGACUGGCUUGACACUAUGUAGCCCAGGGCUAGCCUCAAACUCAUGCUCUUCCUGCCUCAGACUCUAAAGUGAUGGGAUUACACCUUUCUUGGGGCAUGGUCACUCUAAUGAAAAUGCAGAGAGGACUUCCCACUCUCCUGGGAGAGAAGAUUCAUCACCUGGGAGUGAGCGAACACUGCAGCUCACUUUGCGGUAACCACGGAGGAGGAGUUUCUUAAUCACCACAGAACGUGGGCUGCAAGGUGUCAAAGGUCAGGUCUGCUGAGGAAAGGUCUGUCAAGUUGCAGCAGACAACCAAGUUAAAGAAGACUCACUCUUCCUGUGGUGUUCAUUCUCUAGCAACUGGCUUCUGUCUUAUGGGCGGAGCACUCUGGGUAUUUUCUUGGCUACUCAACUGAAAAAAGUCUUUCUCCCUUUUAUGGCAAAACCGGAUCUAAAGAGAGGGUGACAGAUUAGUGCCCUAAACCCCUCAGGUGACCAAGACGCUCCCGAUGGGAAAGCUGACUGGCUGAUCACACCUAUGCUUCGGAUCAGGAGACCCAUACACCAAGCCCACCAGUGUCUGCCACUCGCAGACAGCGGGAACUGACCUGCAGAUCGACUCUAACUUCCCCGAUGCGUGCGCCUUUCUGUCCUGUAAAACCCCAAGCGCCCCGUGUUGUUAAUUUAAGUUACCGGCAAUGAAACACGAUCCUCGAGCCAACA